AUUGAACGCUGGCGGCAGGCCUAACACAUGCAAGUCGAGCGAGCGGCGGACGGGUGAGGAAUGUCUGGGAAACUGCCUGAGGGAGGGGGAUAACUACAGGAAACGGUAGCUAAGACCGCGUACGAUCAGGUGUGCCCAGAUGGGGUUAGCUAGUAGGUGGGGUAACGGCUCACCGAGGCGACGAUCCCUAGCUGGUCUGAGAGGAUGACCAGCCACACUGGAACUGAGACACGGUCCAGACUCCUACGGGAGGCAGCAGUGGGGAAUAUUGCACAAUGGGCGCAAGCCUGAUGCAGCCAUGCCGCGUGUGUGAAGAAGGCCUUCGGGUUGUAAAGCACUUUCAGCGGGGAGGCGUUACCCGCAGAAGAAGCACCGGCUAACUCCGUGCCAGCAGCCGCGGUAAUAC
rnacentral:rRNA from 1 species